CAAUUUAAAGCUUAUUUAGUAAAGCAUUUCAUUUACAUUGGAAAGAUUUUCUGUGCAAUUCAGAUUAAAUUGA
rnacentral:tRNA from 1 species